rnacentral:rRNA from 1 species
UACGUAGGGUGCGAGCGUUAAUCGGAAUUACUGGGCGUAAAGCGUGCGCAGGCGGCUUUGCAAGACAGAUGUGAAAUCCCCGGGCUUAACCUGGGAACUGCAUUUGUGACUGCAUGGCUGGAGUGCGGCAGAGGGGGAUGGAAUUCCGCGUGUAGCAGUGAAGUGCGUAGAUAUGCGGAGGAACACCGAUGGCGAAGGCAAUCCCCUGGGCCUGCACUGACGCUCAUGCACGAAAGCGUGGGGAGCAAACAGG